rnacentral:rRNA from 1 species
GACGAACGCUGGCGGCGUGCCUAAUACAUGCAAGUCGAACGCAGUGGGGACGGGUGAGUAACACGUGGGUAACCUCCCAUCAGAGGGGAUAACACUUGGAAACAGGUGCUAAACCGAUACUGAUGGAUGGACCCGCGGUGCAUUAGCUAGUUGGUGAGGUAACGGCUCACCAAGGCCACGAUGCAUAGCGGACCGGAGAGGGUGAGCGGCCACACGGGGACUGGGACAGGGCCCAGACUCAUACGGGAGGAAGAAGUAGGGAAUCGUCGGCAAGGGACGAAAGUCUGACCGAGCAACGCCGCGUGAGUGAAGAAGGUUUUCGGAUCUUAAACCUCUGUGGUUAGAGAAGCGGUAUCUAACCAGAAAGCAACGGCUAACUACGUGCCAGCAGCCGAGGUAAUAC